UACGUAGGGGGCAAGCGUUGCCCGGAUUUAUUGGGCGUAAAGGGCGCGUAGGCGGCUUGGUAAGUCAGGUGUGAAAUCUCCACGCUCAACGUGGAGGGGCCACCUGAUACUGCCAUGGCUUGAGUCCGGUAGGGGAGUGUGGAAUUCCCGGUGUAGCGGUGAAAUGCGCAGAUAUCAGGAGGAACACCGGUGGCGAAGGCGGGUCUCGUGGGCCGAUGACUGACGCUGAGGAGCGAAGCGUGGGGAGCGAACAGGA
rnacentral:rRNA from 1 species